UACGGAGGAUCCAAGCGUUAUCCGGAUUUAUUGGGUUUAAAGGGUGUGUAGGCGGGUUAGAAAGUCAGUGGUGAAAGCCUGCGGCUUAACUGCAGAAUUGCCAUUGAUACUGCUGACCUUGAGUACAGUUGAGGUGGGCGGAAUGUGUCAUGUAGCGGUGAAAUGCUUAGAUAUGACACAGAACACCGAUUGCGUAGGCAGCUCACCAAACUGCAACUGACGCUGAGGCACGAAAGCGUGGGGAGCAAACAGG
rnacentral:rRNA from 1 species